GCACAGGUGGGUGAGUGGUUAAAGCCAGCAGACUGUAAAUCUGCCCCUCCUCGGAGGUACGAAGGUUCGAAUCCUUCCCUGUGCACCA
rnacentral:tRNA from 1 species